rnacentral:lncRNA from 1 species
GCCCCCGCAGCCGCUUCCAGACACCGUUGGGCUCCGGGUCGGGCUCGGCGGCUCCCAUCUCGAAGCCGAAAUCGCGGACGGGGUCGCGACCGAAGAGCCACAUCGCGACGGCGGUGCCACACGGAGGUGGGGGGUGGGGGGGGGGGGGGGGGGCUGAACCACCCCCAAAAUUACCGAAUAUCCGUGAAACUGACCCAAAAAAACCACCCGGCGGCAUCGGGGUUUUCGGCGCGGUUCCGAGACGAAGCGUUUUUUGGUGAGAUUUUUGGUAAAACGGCGUUUUCCGUACCUACGGUCGCACGGGGAGAAGGCGCAAAACGGGCUCAGAAAGAGGGAUUUUAGGUCAAUCGCGCGUCCAAAAUUGGCUCAGAAAUGGGGAUUUUUUGGGGGUCAGCCGCGCAUCCGAAACGGGCUCAGAAAUGGGGAUUUUUGGGUCAGCCACGCAUCCGAAAUGGGCUCAGAAAUGGGGAUUUUUGGGUCAGCCAC